AAUCCAUAGGUUAAUGAGGCGAACCGGGGGAACUGAAACAUCUAAGUACCCCGAGGAAAAGAAAUCAACCGAGAUUCCCCCAGUAGCGGCGAGCGAACGGGGAGGAGCCCAGAGCCUGAAUCAGCAUGUGUGUUAGUGGAAGCGUCUGGAAAGGCGCGCGAUACAGGGUGACAGCCCCGUACACAAAAGCGCAUGUGCUGUGAGCUCGAUGAGUAGGGCGGGACACGUGGUAUCCUGUCUGAAUAUGGGGGGACCAUCCUCCAAGGCUAAAUACUCCUGACUGACCGAUAGUGAACCAGUACCGUGAGGGAAAGGCGAAAAGAACCCCGGCGAGGGGAGUGAAAAAGAACCUGAAACCGUGUACGUACAAGCAGUGGGAGCACCCUUUGGGUGUGACUGCGUACCUUUUGUAUAAUGGGUCAGCGACUUAUAUUCUGUAGCAAGGUUAACCGAAUAGGGGAGCCGGAGGGAAACCGAGUCUUAACCGGGCGUUAAGUUGCAGGGUAUAGACCCGAAACCCGGUGAUCUAGCCAUGGGCAGGUUGAAGGUUGGGUAACACUAACUGGAGGACCGAACCGACUAAUGUUGAAAAAUUAGCGGAUGACCUGUGGCUGGGGGUGAAAGGCCAAUCAAACCGGGAGAUAGCUGGUUCUCCCCGAAAGCUAUUUAGGUAGCGCCUCGUGAAUUCAUCUCCGGGGGUAGAGCACUGUUUCGGCUAGGGGGCCAUCCCGGCUUACCAACCCGAUGCAAACUGCGAAUACCGGAGAAUGUUAUCACGGGAGACACACGGCGGGUGCUAACGUCCGUCGUGAAGAGGGAAACAACCCAGACCGCCAGCUAAGGUCCCAAAGUCAUGGUUAAGUGGGAAACGAUGUGGGAAGGCCCAGACAGCCAGGAUGUUGGCUUAGAAGCAGCCAUCAUUUAAAGAAAGCGUAAUAGCUCACUGGUCGAGUCGGCCUGCGCGGAAGAUGUAACGGGGCUAAACCAUGCACCGAAGCUGCGGCAGCGACACUGUGUGUUGUUGGGUAGGGGAGCGUUCUGUAAGCCUGUGAAGGUGUGUCGUGAGGCAUGCUGGAGGUAUCAGAAGUGCGAAUGCUGACAUAAGUAACGAUAAAGCGGGUGAAAAGCCCGCUCGCCGGAAGACCAAGGGUUCCUGUCCAACGUUAAUCGGGGCAGGGUGAGUCGACCCCUAAGGCGAGGCCGAAAGGCGUAGUCGAUGGGAAACGGGUUAAUAUUCCCGUACU
rnacentral:rRNA from 1 species